rnacentral:rRNA from 1 species
UCGAUUGUAUCGCCCUUAGAGUUUGAUCCUGGCUCAGGAUGAACGCUAGCGGCAGGCUUAAUACAUGCAAGUCGAACGGGAAUUGGGUAGCAAUACCUGAUGAUAGUGGCGCACGGGUGCGUAACGCGUAUGCAACCUACCUUUAACAGGGGGAUAGCCCGGAGAAAUUCGGAUUAAUACCCCAUAGUAUUAUGGAGAGGCAUCUUUUCAUGAUUAAAGUUCCGGCGGUUAAAGAUGGGCAUGCGUGCCAUUAGCUAGUUGGUGAGGUAACGGCUCACCAAGGCGACGAUGGUUAGGGGUCCUGAGAGGGUUAUCCCCCACACUGGUACUGAGACACGGACCAGACUCCUACGGGAGGCAGCAGUAAGGAAUAUUGGUCAAUGGGCGGAAGCCUGAACCAGCCAUGCCGCGUGCAGGAAGACGGCCUUAUGGGUUGUAAACUGCUUUUGUCAGGGAAUAAACCCUCGUUUGCGAACGAGGCUGAAGGUACCUGAAGAAUAAGCAUCGGCUAACUCCGUGCCAGCAGCCGCGGUAAUACGGAGGAUGCGAGCGUUAUCCGGAUUCAUUGGGUUUAAAGGGUGCGCAGGCGGGCGUAUAAGUCAGGGGUGAAAUGCCACGGCUCAACCGUGGAACUGCCUUUGAUACUGUAUGUCUUGAGUUUAGUUGAAGUGGGCGGAAUGUAGCAUGUAGCGGUGAAAUGCAUAGAGAUGCUACAGAACACCGAUAGCGAAAGGCAGCUCACUAAGUUUAAGACUGACGCUCAUGCACGAAAGCGUGGGGAUCAAACAGGAUUAGAUACUCUGGGUAGUCCACGCUGUAAACGAUGAUCACUCGUUGUUGGCGAUAUACCGUCAGCGGCCAAGCGAAAGUGAUUAGUGAUCUACCUGGGGAGUACGAUCGCAAGGUUGAACUCAAAGGAUUUGACGGGGGCCCGCACAAGCGGUGGAGCAUGGGGUUUAAUUCGAUGAUUCGCGAGGAAACCUUACCCUGGGCU